UACGGAGGGUGCGAGCGUUGUCCGGAAUCACUGGGCGUAAAGGGCGCGUGAGGCGGCGCGGGCAGUCAACGGUGAAGCUUGGGGCUCAACCCCGAGUCGGCCGUCGAUACUCCCGGGCUGGAGCACUGUAGAGGCAGGUGGAAUUCCGGGGUGUAGCGGUGGAAUGCGUAGAGAGUCCGGAAGAACACCGGUGGCGAAGGCGGCCUGCUGGGCAGAGCUGACGCUGAGGCGCGACAGCGUGGGGAGCAAACAGG
rnacentral:rRNA from 1 species